rnacentral:misc_RNA from 1 species
AAGUCGUAACAAGGUUUCCGUAGGUGAACCUGCGGAAGGAUCAUUAACACAAUUUUACUGUGAUAAAUCCGUUGAAUUCUCGCAUUCAAUGGUAUCCACCCCAUUAUUGAUGAACUUUUCUAGAUGUUAAAACAUAGAGCUAGUCUUUAUGUUUUUAACAUUCUAAACCUUUUUCUAUAUCCACACAAAUUUAAACCCCUUUUACAACAUGUAUUAGACUGAAAUGAAAAUUUUCUAUCAAAAAAUUGAUAAAAACAACUUUUAACAACGGAUAUCUUGGCUCUC